GAUGAACGCUGACAGAAUGCUUAACACAUGCAAGUCUACCUGAACUACGGUUUGGGUGGCGGACGGGUGAGUGACGCGUAAAGAACUUGCCUCACAGAUAGGGACAACACUUGGAAACGAAUGCUAAUACCUGAUAUUAUGAUCUUAGGGCACCUUAGAAUUAUGAAAGCUAUCUGCACUGCGAGAGAGCUUUGCGUCCCAUUAGCAAGGUGGCGAGGUAACGGCGCACGAAGGCGAUGAUGCGAAGCCGGCCUGGGAGGGUGAUCGGCCCCAAGGGGACUGGGGCAGGACCAUUGCUCAUACGGGAGGCAAGGGUGGGAAAUAGUGGACAAUAGACCAAGAGUCUGAUGCAGCCAUUCGGUGUGCACGAUGAAGUUUUUCGGAAUGAAAAGUGCUUUCAGUUGGGAAGAAAAAAAUGACGGUACCAACAGAAGAAGUAACGGCUAAAUACGUG
rnacentral:rRNA from 1 species